AGGGUCAGAUGUUAUAUUUUAUCGAUAAAACAACGGUCACACUGCGCCAUAUAUCACAAAAUGUUAACUUUAUUGUAAAAACCAACACAAAAUCAAUAAUUAGCCAUCAAAACCCUACGUAAAACGAUCUACACUCAUGGCAGAUUCCGCUGCAUGUCAAUUGCAGUACGAGUACAAGGCAGUAAGUGCCAAAGCGACAACAUGCUAAAUUUGCAUCCCUCCAUGCGAUCCUAAAUCUUGUGCAACAAGCUAAUGCAAGACACAUAGAGUGCCUACGUCGCUACUGGCGAGGUCUACUCAAUGGUAGGAAAGUGGUAUUGAAAGAAUAUCGGUGACCCUCACACCAAGCUGGAAAAUACUGAAGAGCUGAAGCAUGAUGUGUGUGAUCCAUGCGGUCUAUGUGGAUCAGACCAGGGAUAUCGCCUGCGGUGGAGCUUGGAGCUUUUUUAAGCUGAUCGCAAAGUGUAGCUAUAGUUCUCAUGAACUAUAGCUCGAUAACAGGAUUAGAUUCGUGUUGCUGGUCCACCUGGGCAUGAGAUCACAGACUUUGGCAGCGGUGCCAUAAACGCACUGACAGCAACAACUAACUAUUAUGUACCAGAUUUGGAUGAAUACGUGCCCAUUAAUUCAGAUAAUAGUUGGCCAAUAAAGAGGCUGCCAGCAAUGGGCAGAAAGAUCGGAUUCUGCAUCCCCUGUACAUCGAUGUCUAUUAGCUGCCAAGUUGCCCGAGUAAGAUCUACAGGAGUACCACGGUUUCGCAGAGCAAGUCUGCCGAUGUGCUGAAGAUUGACUUUGACUCCAUCAAGCAGCGGAAGCUAUAUCGCCAGACAGACAAUGAACUCCAACGGCGGCACGGCACUCGCAAAUAUCAGCUGCCAGUAUUGCAAGCUCGCGACUGAGCGAUUCGAAGCAGACAUUGAGCCGGGCCCCUCCUUUGACACAAGCCUUUCUGGAUGUUUAGUGGUCAAAUGGCUGCCAUGGAACUGGCCCAGAUGGUUACCCAGGACAUGAGCAAGGACUCGUAUUUGCGACAUUUUCUGCAAUUUAGCGUCGACGUCAAGCGAUGCAGUGAGACGAAAAUCAAAAACUCAUUCGUCAUCAUGGAGCCGAAGGAUGAGAACCUUACAGCUUUACAUACGCAAAUGAGCGAUUUGGUAUCGGUGUCGGUCCGGCUGCAGAGUGAAUGCCUGUCCCGUCACUGCAUCCAUCUUCCCGCUGAAGAUCACGGAAGGCUGGCAGCUCGUUGACCAUACAUUGUAGUGCAGGAGCGACUUCUACUUGGGCUGCUAUCAGGACUUCAAAUUCUCAAUCUGAGAGUGGGAACGAGUCGGAUUAAGGCGCAGGAUAAGAU